CCUUCGAUAGCUCAGUUGGUAGAGCGGUGGACUGUAGAUGUGCUUCGGCAAGCUCUCAAUAGUAAUCCAUAGGUCACUGGUUCAAAUCCGGUUCGAAGGA
rnacentral:tRNA from 2 species